rnacentral:rRNA from 1 species
AUGGCGGAGUCGAUGACGAGCAUCGGCGGGUACAUGGCGUCGGGGUACCGGAGGGUGGCCGGCAUGCAGCUCUCCAUCAACCACCUCAAGCCCGCCCGCAUCGGCGACCGCAUCGAGACCAAGGCGAACCCCAUCCAGGUCGGCCGCAACGUCCAGGCAGAGGUCGAGGGACGAGGUGUCUCCAAGCAGAGGCCGAUGUUCUGCAACCUGCAACUACGAUCUUGGACGGCCGGCGCGCGCGGGGUUGCAGCCUGCAGAGAUGUGUUUCCCCACCUGCCUAUUGCCUGUCGUCUUCAUGAUGUAACUAAAACACUAAGUGAAUUGUGGUGUCUCAAUGCUAAGAAACAAUCAGCACAGCAAAGGCCCAGCCUAAAAGUAGCGCAUAGGUUGUUUUUCAGAUUCGGCGAGAUGGUGCUGUGUAAUUUUCUUCUCAAGAUGAAGUCUUCGGUGGAUUAA